rnacentral:tRNA from 1 species
AGGCCUGUCGUCUAGCGGUAGGACACCGAGUUUUAUUGUGAGCCGACAGGCUUGCUUCUCAUUCUCGGGACGAAGGUUCGAGUCCUUUCAGGCUUU